ensembl:lncRNA
AUGGACUGAAAGCGCCUGGAGAUGUCGGGGGGCAAGCGGGCUUCUCUGAGUUGGGGGAGCUCCCUGUGGACGGAGCCUCUGCACCGGUGUGCCCCGUGCCCGGGGCCUGGACGGGGCUGCAGGGGGAGUGUGCGUGUCCCGGGCGCGGGGCCUCCUUGCACACCCGAGGCGCGUAGUGUGUGUGCGUCCUUCACUCCUGUGGAAGGGCCGUUCUCGCUCCGUUCUCAUCUGACAGGCUCUUCCUCAAAAGCCUAUCUCCUCAUUUUCCAGGAAAUUACUUACAGUCAAGUCUGAAGGGAAAAGCACGUCGUGCAGUUCUCUAGGUGAGCGCAGUGCUUUCAAAUCCUGGCUCCAAGAAGGAAAGCACGGAAAGGAACUUGUCUGCAGCUUGGGUGUGGCUUCCAGACUCAAAGACUUGGUGACGCUCCAGAGCCAAGUUUCUUAGCUGCACUUCCAGCGUCACCUGAAGACGGGGAAAUGUCGUUUCCACAACAUGAUCCGCAAGCAGAUCCAGUCAGUCCAUCCUAAAGGAGAUCAGUCCUGGGUGUUCAUUGGAAGGAGCUUAAAUUCCAAUACUUUGGCCACCUGAUGUGAAGAGCUGACCCGUUGGAAAAGACCCUGAUGCUGGGAAAGAUUGAAGGCAGGAGAAGGGGAUGACAGAGGAUGAGAUGGCUGGAUGGCAUCACCAACUUGAUGGACGGCCCAGAAACCGACGUGGCCUGAGGCCCAGGGACCAAGCAAAGCUGUCAGCCCUUCAGUAGAAAGCAGGUGAUUUCUGAGACGGCCGGUGGGGAAUCGAUGUAUGAAGGGCCCUCUGGUCACACUGGACGUCAGUGACUUCUGGGCCUCAGCUUCCACACUCCUCCUCCUGGAUUUCAUGGUGACUUGUAAACCCCAGGUUUCAGGUUCUCUAGAGAAGACAGAUAUCUAUGGGCUUCCUUGGUGACCCAGUGCUCAAGAAUCUGCCUGCCAAUGUAGGGGACAUGGGUUCAAUCCCUGGUCCAGGAAGACCCCACAUGCUGCUGACCAAUUAAGGCUGGG